UGUGUAUGAAAAAAAUGGUUUAGAAAAGCUAAAGAAAACAAGGGCUGGUUAUGGGGUUUCAAUCACAAAGAGAUUGAUAGUUCAUGAAAACACGUAGAACCAGUAAAGGAAAACAACAGAGAAAGAUUGAACAAGAUGGGUCCUGCGCCUAAGUGUAGAGUUGAUCAUAAAACCAGAAAGGAGGAUUUCACUGAUUACAGGAGACAUUAGUCUCAA